UACGUAGGGGGCAAGCGUUGUCCGGAAUCAUUGGGCGUAAAGAGCGUGUAGGCGGCCCGAUAAGUCCGCUGUGAAAGUCCAGGGCUCAACCCUGGGAUGCCGGUGGAUACUGUCGGGCUCGAGUCCGGAAGAGGAGUGUGGAAUUCCUGGUGUAGCGGUGAAAUGCGCAGAUAUCAGGAGGAACACCUAUUGCGAAGGCAGCUCGCUGGGACGUUACUGACGCUGAGGAGCGAAAGCCAGGGGAGCAAACGGG
rnacentral:rRNA from 1 species